rnacentral:tRNA from 1 species
GGAACUGUGGCUCAAUGGUAGAGCAUUAGCCUUGAAAAGCUGAGGGACAGUGUCA